AAAGCCUCUUUCGCCGUGGCUGAUUGACGCCGAUGCGGUUCCGGGGAGGUGGGGAGUGAUUUGUUGCGCCGCCUUGCUUGCUCUCGGCGUUUCCCCGUUCUGUUCGUCCGAGGCUGUGACGGCGGCGCUGCUUCCGAUACACUGCCGCUGCUCAACUCCUGUGUGGUCGGUCGUUCCCCGCUUUUCCCUCCCGCCGUGGCGCUGCCGGUGCUGGGGGCGGGCGGCGGGUUUCUUCUUGUGCGGUGCCGGCGGGCUGCUGUUGUAGGCGAGCGGCGGAUUUCUUCUCGCGCGGUGCCGGCGGCCGGCUGUAUCCCAUUUCCCUCUCAGUUGCGCUGCCGGUGACGUGAGCUUUCCUUGGUUUGGGCAGAGGGUUGGGCUGUGGGUUGGCUUUUUUGGUGGUGCUCGAUCUGCUGUGGUAUAGGCGCUGUUUUGGUGUGUGCUCUCCAUUUUCUGGUGUGUUCCGUGAUUUUGGGGUGUUUGCUGAUGCCUUGUGGCAGGUGUUUUUUUUUUCAGGUAUCGGAUUGGAGGUUGGUUCUUCGUCAUCUGCUCGCCGACGGCGUGUCUCCAUUGAUGAAUUUGGAGAGCUGGAGGGCAGUUGUUCGUCCUCUGUUCUUAGUCCUUUCUGCAAUGGGUGCCAGGAUUCAAGCUAGCCAAGUGGAAGAGAAAACUAGAAGAUGAAAGUUGGAGCCGGAUCAGUGAUCAAUACCUGCUCUUAUGUGCACAGGAGAAGACAUUAAAAAGAAGGAAAAUGCUAAAUGGGCUUGACGACCUUUGACAUCCAGGGAGAGAUUUGAGGAAUAGAAUGGAAAUUUCCCUAGAAAGUGCUUGUGAAAUAGGACAAUGAUGACUCAAUUUCGGUAUUUGGUGGUUAUGCAAUCUUAUUGCAACCAAAGAAUGAAGGUGGAUAGGUCAUAGGAGAAUACCAGAGCCAAGUAACACAAGAUUUAUAAAUUUGGUAGAGCUAAAGGCAAAAGGGUUGAAGUUCCCCAACCGAGUUUUUGCAAUAAGAUCAUGAGGGUUAGUGAACCCAUAAAAAAUCAAUGGUGGAAAGACGGAAUACUUACAAACAUUGGUGGUUAUAACAAUAUCACAAGAGAGACCGUGCAACAGUAUAGGUAGCGCCUCUGCAGAACAGAGAUAAUUUUAGACAUGGAGAGGGCGAGAGGAGAACAUCUCUAUUUCUGCACAUGAUUCAGCAGGUACCUUUUGCGGUUUAGUGUCGAUUUUUACUUUUGUUUACAUGUUUGAUGUGUCUUAUCAGAGCAUAGCAUGUUGAAUAGUACAUGACAACUAUCAGAUGUAAUGUGCAUUUUCUAUAUGAUUUAUGUGUAUUUUCUUAUUAUUAUA